GCUCAUUCGUACAGCAUAGGAACAAUGGACUACACAUGUUUGAGUGUAUUAUCACACCAACCAUCAGCUUCAGAUCGCAGAUCACUGACCUCUUUGUGCUCCUACAUGGUGACGAAUGGCGGCAUGAUUAAGUGUUGAUGAAUGGAGACUGAAUUCUGUGCCUCCCUGCAUUUCCCCACCCAUCCUCUGGAGAAUGUGUCAGCUGUAGCCAGUUGUUCCUCGUCGCUGCUGAGCAGGUCAGUCUGAGGACCACCCUGCCCUGUAAUUUGUAAUCAGCUGGAGGAGCCGCUCCCCUCAUCGGCCAGGGCUCAUGGCAACAGGACAGCAAGUGGACGCUGCUCAGCUAAAGGUCCAUGAGCCUCCACAACAGCCCUGGAGGUGAGAAGAGGUUUCCACACAAGUUCAGCAGAACAUUAACACACAAAUUAACAGAGCUGUGACCAACAGGGAUGAAGAUCCAUGUGGAGUGGCGUGUGAGUCCGGGGAGGGUCCUGCCUCAGCUCUCCUCUUUGUAAUGGCCCCUCAUCAGUGGACCAUUUCUCUGCAUUAUUCAGAGCCAAACAGCCUAGGUCUCUCUCUCUCCCUCUCUCUUUCUUUCUUUCUUUCUCUCUCUCUCACUCUCUCUCACUCUCUCUACAUGCCCACCACUAAAAAAAAAAAACACUUCUGCACCUCGCAUUGAAGCUCCACUUUGCUGAACACAAAGACAAAGGACCUGGCACACAUGUGUGUCUCCCAAGUCCCUUCCAGUAUUAAAUAUUAAUCUCGGCAUAAUUUCUGCUGCUCCCAAAGAGGAGCGGAGAGCAGCCUCGUGGCCAUCAGUGAGUUAUGUGCUUGUCCCAGUGGCAAGACGUUUGUCAAAAUCAAUUCUUAGUCAGG